UGUUGUUGGGAUAAAAUGAGGAUAAGAAAACCGUAAGCUCCACGCUCGCGCCACACGAUUCUUCUUCUUCUUCUUCGGUCAAUGCCCAGUCGUCGCCGUCUCCCUUCUCCCUCGUUGUCAGUUUGUGCGCCGUCGCUCCCAGCCGCCCUUCGAGCAACAACUAUCGCGUCAUCCACCUCGUUUGCUGCCUUCCAGAUCUGACCAAUCCGCUUCUCUUUUGCAUUUCCGGCGAGGUAUUGUUCCGACAAAACAAUAUCCACGACGUUUGGACCUUUGAUCUACGGAUUGGAGCCUAUUCGAGGUCGAACAACACUAUUUCGCGAGGAUUUCUUGGAUUUCAACUCUUAACUGCUUGCAUCUCAAAGCUGUAAUAACAGUGUCGUUGUUGAGUGCAUCGCUUCCAUAUUUGAAGACCGAUUUCACAUUGCUAGAACUAUCAGGCAAUGAUUUGAGAAUUGCUGCUUCACUUUCCUCUCCUAGUUACUCCCCACUCAGAACUUUGGAUUUAGUUUGGUUCGUAGUUUGUAUGAAAGCAUGAUAUAAGCAUGUAAUAGAAAUUUGAGCCUAAACUAAGUUGAUCUGAUCCAUGAAAAAGCAUGUCGAAGUUAUAUGAUGCAUGUUUUCCGAGAAAUAAAUUGUUAGAGCGUUGAUAUAUGUUGAACAUUAUUUAGUAUGAUAAUGUUAUAAGAAACUUAUUAUCACGAUUUGGGCAUGGGAUGAGCUAAGACGAUAUAUGUUGAACAUUAUUAUGUAUGUUUUCUAAGAAAAGUAUGAACUAAACUAUGACCGGUAUGAAUAUGAAAUUAUGACUAGGUAUCCAUGUUUAGGUCGCCUAUGUAUGUUUCUAUUGUAUAUGUAUGUGAUUGUAGCGGUUAUAUGGGGAUGAUUAGAGAUUCGCCAACUAAUCUUAAUCGUAAACCUGACUCGAUUGUCAGGGGUCUGAAUAAAUAUAGAACAGACUUAUGAUAUAUGAUUGUAUAAUGUGGGGCUAUUUAUGAAGUUUGCAAGUUAGCUUUUCUUUA